UACGAAGGGUGCGAACGUUGCUCGGAAUCAUUGGGCGUAAAGCGCACGUAGGCGGCGGCGUAAGCGGGAUGUGAAAGCCCAGGGCUCAACCCUGGAAGUGCAUCCCGAACUGUGUCGCUUGAAUCUCGGAGGGGGACAGAGAAUUCCCGGUGUAGAGGUGAAAUUCGUAGAUAUCGGGAGGAAUACCAGUGGCGAAGGCGCUGUCCUGGACGAAGAUUGACGCUGAGGUGCGAAAGCGUGGGGAGCAAACAGG
rnacentral:rRNA from 1 species